GACGAACCGAGCGAACGUUGUUCGGAAUCACUGGGCUUAAAGGGCGCGUAGGCGGGUGCUCAAGUCCGGGGUGAAAUCCUCCAGCUCAACUGGAGAACUGCCUCGGAUACUGGGUGCCUCGAGGGUGGUAGGGGUAUGCGGAACUAUCGGUGGAGCGGUGAAAUGCGUUGAUAUCGGUAGGAACUCCGGUGGCGAAGGCGGCAUACUGGGACGUGACUGACGCUGAGACGCGAAAGCGUGGGGAGCAAACAGG
rnacentral:rRNA from 1 species